AGAGCGAACGCUGGCGGCAGGCUUAACACAUGCAAGUCGAACGGGCGUAGCAAUACGUCAGCGGCAGACGGGUGAGUAACGCGUGGGAACAUACCUUUUGGUUCGGAACAACCCAGGGAAACUUGGGCUAAUACCGGAUAAGCCCUUACGGGGAAAGAUUUAUCGCCGAAAGAUUGGCCCGCGUCUGAUUAGCUAGUUGGUGAGGUAACGGCUCACCAAGGCGACGAUCAGUAGCUGGUCUGAGAGGAUGAUCAGCCACAUUGGGACUGAGACACGGCCCAAACUCCUACGGGAGGCAGCAGUGGGGAAUAUUGGACAAUGGGCGCAAGCCUGAUCCAGCCAUGCCGCGUGAGUGAUGAAGGCCCUAGGGUUGUAAAGCUCCUUUGUGCGGGAAGAUAAUGACGGUACCGCAAGAAUAAGCCCGGCUAACUUCGCGCCAGCAGCCGC
rnacentral:rRNA from 1 species